rnacentral:rRNA from 1 species
AACAGGAUUAGAUACCCUGGUAGUCCACGCUGUAAACGAUGUCGACUUGGAGGUUGUUCCCUUGAGGAGUGGCUUCCGGAGCUAACGCGUUAAGUCGACCGCCUGGGGAGUACGGCCGCAAGGUUAAAACUCAAAUGAAUUGACGGGGGCCCGCACAAGCGGUGGAGCAUGUGGUCUAAUUCGAUGCAACGCGAAGAACCUUACCUACUCUUGACAUCCAGAGAACUUAGCAGAGAUGCUUUGGUGCCUUCGGGAACUCUGAGACAGGUGCUGCAUGGCUGUCGUCAGCUCGUGUUGUGAAAUGUUGGGUUAAGUCCCGCAACGAGCGCAACCCUUAUCCUUUGUUGCCAGCGGUCCGGCCGGGAACUCAAAGGAGACUGCCAGUGAUAAACUGGAGGAAGGUGGGGAUGACGUCAAGUCAUCAUGGCCCUUACGAGUAGGGCUACACACGUGCUACAAUGGCAUAUACAAAGAGAAGCGACCUCGCGAGAGCAAGCGGACCUCAUAAAGUACGUCGUAGUCCGGAUUGGAGUCUGCAACUCGACUCCAUGAAGUCGGAAUCGCUAGUAAUCGUGGAUCAGAAUGCCACGGUGAAUACGUUCCCGGGCCUUGUACACACCGCCCGUCACACCAUGGGAGUGGGUUGCAAAAGAAGUAGGUAGCUUAACCUUCGGGAGGGCGCUUACCACUUUGUGAUUCAUGACUGGGGUGAAGUCGUAACAAGGUAACC